GCAGAUGUACCCAAGUGGCUGAAGGGUCCGCACUCGAAAUGCGGUAGGACGGCAAUACCGUCGCGAGAGUUCAAAUCUCUCCAUCUGCGCCA
rnacentral:tRNA from 1 species